rnacentral:tmRNA from 1 species
GGGGAUGAUCGGUUUCGACGUUUCUUGCAGAGACUGAGAGAAGCGGGUCGUGAAUGUAGCGUCAACACGUAAAUGUCCGCUGCAAACUAUAGGUGCCAAAUCUUCGCGCACCGACUUUGCCCUAGCUGCCUAAGCGCAACUAGCCCGAAGUCCGUCAGACCGGAUUUGAUUUCGUUCCGGAUCCUGGCGUCAUUUAGAAAUCUUGCUGCGUAGCUACGCCUUAGGGCUGCGCGGGACUCAAACUCAGGCUGGGCCUGUCGGUUAGGUCGCUUCAUGCUAUGACCGGGGCCGAGUAGAAC